rnacentral:misc_RNA from 1 species
UUCUUUUACUUUUUUCGUUUAGCCUACUCGCUCGUCGCUUCUUCCUUGGGUUGGGCUGCGCGGCUUGCUCGCUGACCUCCCCCGGGGUGGGUUAAUCCCCCGGGGAAGCAACAGUGGUGGUGUACGCAGGGGGGUGUGGGCAUUUGGAAACUGGCCACCCGGGGGCGGAGGGACGGGCGGGGCGCUCCGGCCGCGUCGGGCGUUAGCCGAGGCGGGGGCUUCAACCUCUCUCCCUUGGGUCUACGGCCCCAGCCUGUCCCGGGGGCACAAUCGAGUCGGGCUACCCCACGCCUUCCUGCGUUUCCUGCUCCUCGUGUUGGUCUUUGGUAAUGAUCCUUCCGCAGGUUCACCUACGGAAA